ensembl:lncRNA
AUGAGCGAGCGAGGUGAGCCCUUCGGUGAGGGGGAGUUGAGAAAUAACAACCAGCAGGCUGACUUGCUGGCAGACGGAGAUACCAACGCCAAUGAUAUCCGGACAGAGGAUGGCGGGAUGACGGGUGAUACUGUCACUCUGUCUGGACUGCUGACUGAAACAGCACAGCAGGACAAAGUCAUCAUCUGGGGUACAGACUCCCAGUGUGAUGACCCCGACCUGGCUGAGUUUGAGAUGCUGGAGUGUCAGGAGCUGGAGGCCUACGUGGUUGAGGAUGGAGAGGACUUUCUCGGGCUUGCAGAACGGAAGAAGCUUAAAGAACAGCCUUCGUCAUGCGGCAAAGCUACAGUAGACCAGGCAACGGAUAAUAAGAGCAGGGAAGACAAAAAGACUAUUCUGCAUGGCGCCAGUGAGCAGGAAACCAGCACUUCUCAUGUCUCCGAGAGCAGAGAAGCAUCCAGGGCUGAGUUAAGCUCAGAAACUGAUGUCUUUGUGUCCUGUCUGUCCACCAUUUCAAGCAUGGACACUGCUAUGGACACUACUGGCAGGACCCAGACAACAGACUCAUGGCACAAUGCCUCUGGUCCUUACUCAACCAUCUCAGAAGACUUGACUCUGGUUUCCCAGACUGACAACAACGUCCCUGAGAGAGACAAUGUCUCUCAAAGAGCUGAUCAUCCUUCCUCCUCCUCUGGAAAAAGCACAAUACACAGGGAAGAUGUGAACAUGAAUUUGAAUUCAACAGCUCACUCAGAGGAUGUGGGAUCACAGGCACAAGUGAGCAAUGGAGUUAUUCCGUGUGAGGAUGCCAUUGACGAGCACAGGAAGAACAAUAACCAGAGAAAUAAAGCAGUCAAUACCAUUUCAGAUGGAGAAUGUGAUCAAAUAAGGAGUACUGAGCACAAGGGUUUACCCACUGAAAGAAUAUCACAUGAAGAAAGCAACACUAAAAUGGAUAAAAGCACACAAGCUGAUGAUGCCCCUGUUGUGAACUACAGCCCACCCAAAACAGGUACAAAGGGGACUUUUUCAUCAAUUGAAUCCAAAGCCAUGAAGAAACAAGGAUCAUUUGAUAACUCGUUGAAAAAACAAUACUCUCCUGACAAGACUUUCAAAAAGCAGCCAUCGUUUGAAAAUACUUUAAAGAAGCAGCCCUCCUUUGAUAACACCUUAAAUAAGCAGGGUUCUUUUGAGAACACCAUCCCCUGCAGCUCUUCAAGUCUGGAGAGGAGGAAGCCAUGGGGAAGCCCGAGUCGACCAGCAACUCCUACUUCACCUAAAACAACCUGUUCCCCCAAGAGAAGGCCGCCUGGUUCUCCAGCCAAAGUCCAGAAUAUCAGAUCUCUGAGCUUUGAGCGCAGCGACCCCCCUCAGAGAAGUCAAACAGUCAGAACACCAGGUAAGACAAGUUUGAGCAGUUGCAUCCCCAUACCUGUCUCGUCUCAGCAGAAAGAACCUGAACCCGGGAGGUCAUCUCCUCCCCAGAAACCUAAAAAUGUCCGACCAAAAAUCAUCACCUAUGUUCGAAAAAAUCCUCAAGCAAAACCACAAGGGACAGAUGCCCCACUCGAAGCCUCUACACUCCCACUAAGACUAUCUUCUUACUCCAGCCCACCAGCUCAUAAAGAUCCAAGGGUUGGUCCUCAACCUAAAUCCACGGUGCUAUGUUCCUCCAACUUGCUGUUUGACAAAUAUCGACAGGAGAUGCAGAAGGCGGGGGUACUAUCCUCCAGGCAUGUCUGCGACUGGGGUAAAACCUCCAAGCAGCACCAUCCCUCAAAGGCUGGGUGGGAAGUCAGGCAGUUUUCAUGA